rnacentral:rRNA from 1 species
GACGAACGCUGGCGGCGCGCUUAACACAUGCAAGUCGAACGGAAAGGCCCCGCUUUUGUGGGGUGCUCGCGUGGCGAACGGGUGUGUAACACGCGAGUAACCUGCCCUUGACUUUGGGAUAACUUCCGGAAACUGGGGCUACUACCGGAUAGGAGCUCCUGCUGCAUGGUGGGGGUUGGAAAGUUUCGGCGGUUGGGGAUGGACCCGCGGCUUAGCAGCUUGUUGGUGGGGUAGUGGCUUACCAAGGCUUUGACGGGUAGCCGGCCUGAGAGGGUGACCGGCCACAUUGGGACUGAGGUACGGCCCAGACUCCUACGGGAGGCAGCAGUGGGGAAUAUUGCACAAUGGGCGGAAGCCUGAUGCAGCAACGCCGCGUGCGGGAUGACGGCCUUCGGGUUGUAAACCGCUUUCGCCUGUGACGAAGCGUGAGUGACGGUAAUGGGUAAAGAAGCACCGGCUAACUACGUG